CAGUCGCCGCGGUAAUACGUAGGUGGCAAGCGUUGUCCGGAAUUAUUGGGCGUGAAGGGCUCGCAGGCGGUUUCUUAAGACUGAUGUGAAAGCCCCCGGCUCAACCGGGGAGGGUCAUUGGAAACUGGGAAACUUGAGUGCAGAAGAGGAGAGUGGAAUUCCACGUGUAGCGGUGAAAUGUGUAGAGAUGUGGAGGAACACCAGUGGCGAAGGCGACCCUCUGGUCUGUAACUGACGCUGAGGAGCGAAAGCGUGGGGAGCGAACAGGAUUAGAGACCCCUGUAGUCCCUGUCUCUUAUAU
rnacentral:rRNA from 1 species